rnacentral:rRNA from 1 species
CAGCCGCCGCGGGAAUACGAAGGGGGCUAGCGUUGCUCGGAAUCACUGGGCGUAAAGGGUGCGUAGGCGGGUCUUUAAGUCAGGGGUGAAAUCCUGGAGCUCAACUCCAGAACUGCCUUUGAUACUGAAGACCUUGAGUUCGGGAGAGGUGAGUGGAACUGCGAGUGUAGAGGUGAAAUUCGUAGAUAUUCGCAAGAACACCAGUGGCGAAGGCGGCUCACUGGCCCGAUACUGACGCUGAGGCACGAAAGCGUGGGGAGCAAACAGGAUUAGAUACCCCGGUAGUCCCUGUCUCUUAUAC